rnacentral:rRNA from 1 species
GGGUCAGUAGGUUGGUCGUGCCACCGGUACGUACUGGUCUCACUGAUUCCUCCUUCCUGAAGAACCGUGAUGCCAUUAAUUUGGUGUUGCGGGGAAACAGGACUGUUACUUUGAAAAAAUUAGAGUGUUUAAAGCAAGCUAACGCUUGAAUACAUUAGCAUGGAGUAAUGAAAUAGGACGAUCGAUCCUAUUUUGUUGGUUUCCAGGAUUGACGUA